rnacentral:rRNA from 1 species
GAUGAACGCUGGCGGCGUGCUUAACACAUGCAAGUCGAGCGAUGAAGUUUCCUUCGGGAAACGGAUUAGCGGCGGACGGGUGAGUAACACGUGGGUAACCUGCCUCAUAGAGUGGAAUAGCCUUCCGAAAGGAAGAUUAAUACCGCAUAACGUUGAAGGAUGGCAUCAUCAUUCAACCAAAGGAGCAAUCCGCUAUGAGAUGGACCCGCGGCGCAUUAGCUAGUUGGUGGGGUAACGGCCUACCAAGGCGACGAUGCGUAGCCGACCUGAGAGGGUGAUCGGCCACAUUGGGACUGAGACACGGCCCAGACUCCUACGGGAGGCAGCAGUGGGGAAUAUUGCACAAUGGGGGAAACCCUGAUGCAGCAACGCCGCGUGAGCGAUGAAGGUUUUCGGAUCGUAAAGCUCUGUCUUUGGGGAAGAUAAUGACGGUACUCAAGGAGGAAGCCACGGCUAACUACGUGCCAGCCGCCGCAGUAA